CCCAGCUGUGGGUAGCUGCCUAGAUUGUCUUAUACCUAGGCAAGUGUUACACUGCUGGGAGAACAGCAGCAAUAGUUGGCAGGAAUUCUGGGUCUGGUUAAUGACCACUCUGUGUUAACUAU
rnacentral:snoRNA from 1 species